rnacentral:tRNA from 1 species
ACUUUUAAAGGAUUACAGUCAUCCAUUGGCCUUAGGAGCCAAAAAUAUU